rnacentral:rRNA from 1 species
UCGUCUGUAGUCUCACCUCCGCCGGCUUGCUGGAUUGGAGUGGGACGAGACUGUGGGAAUACUUCUUAAGGGGACUGUGUGCGUCUAUAGCACGCGGAAGAGCGAGCCAAUAGCAGGUCUGUGAUGCUCCUAAAUGUCCUAGGCUGCACGCGCACUACACUGAUGCAAUAAACGAGUCUGAGUGCCUUCUGGCAACCUACCUGGAAGCGGGUGGGAAAUCUUUUGAACUUGCAUCGUGAUGAGGAUCGACGAUUGCAAUUAUUCUCCUUGAAUGAGGAAUGCCUAGUAGGCACAAGUCAUCAGCUUGUACUGAUUACGUCCCUGCCAUUUGUACACACCGCCCUGCU